CCUUUUGAUUUUUGAAGCAGAGUUCAGGACUACAGGUUAUAAUUCCAUUGCUCAGAAAGUUACAAAAAACUAUCAUUAUAAGAAGAAGAAUGCCAAUAAUACAUAUUGGUUACAACAGACCCUUCUAUAAUAAACAAACACAAAGAAGGUGCUUAGUAUAAUACACAUACAACAUGAGUUUACAACAAGGAAACUGACACUGAAAUGGGCACAUGGUCCAAUAAAUGAAGGGACUUAAGAAGCUGAAACCACUAACAUUCGCAAAAGCCAAAAUUCAAAUCCAUGUGAUCGAAGAUUAUAUCACCAGAGGACUAGCCACUAGGAGCUUCAGACCAAAGCAAUACACUAAUCUGAGAAGACCUUGAGGUACCACCACCACAGAUAAACACACAGCAGUAGCACACCAGUAAGGAAGAACUGUACUCGGGAGAAUCUUCAAGCAGAUGGUUUCACAUGAAACUAGCACUAAACCACACUGCACAAUGGCAAUCAAAACCCACAUUCUCAACUUCCUUGAAAUCGUGCCUUUCAAACAAGCUGACUAAGUGAUAAUUAAAGACCAACAACACCGUAGAACCCUCUCCAUGAGCAUGUCAGUAGUACUGAAUCAAAAUCUUGUCCUUACUGCCACAUAAAGCAUCACUAAGUCAACCAUGAAACAUACAGUGCAUGGAUCCGCUUAUAUACCUCGCAACCACCAUCAAAUAAUCCAACCGAUACUGCAUGCGGAACUUAACAGCAAAUUGACACCACAUAGAGGUAAAUUCCGAACUCCUAAGCAACCAUAUCUUAUCUUCACUACUAAACUUCUGAUGAAACUGACAACCAUGAGGGGGAACAUGCCAGAUGCAAAAACUGCAGAAUCUUGAGGACUCCACUUAUUCCAGUAACAGUCAUCAGAUCACAAAAAUUAGGCGUAUGAACAAAUUAUCCUGAUCCGACCAAUAACCAUGUAGACCAGAGGCAGAUGGAGAACAAACACUUCAAAUUAUCCUGUUUAGGUUAAGCCCAAACAUCCCGGGUUACUCAAUUAAACUGAUCUGACCUUGGACAGAAAUCGAAACAAGAAUUGCAGAACCCUAGACCUCGAAUCGAACGGAUCCAUUAACCCCAAAAUA